CGGGAAAGAGAAGAAAAGAGGGGGGAUAAGAGAGGCAUCCUUCUCCCUUUGGCCUUUGUCUAGGCUUUUUUGAAAUCACUGGAUACCAUAUUCGUCCAACUGAGGGAGCUAUAGUUCGUACCAAAGAUAUUUUAAGACCCCAAUUAAGUUUUUAUGACUCAUAGUAGUUUUUAUGCAUUUGUAUUACAUGCCAUCUUUGGUUGUGGACUUAAACACAUUGAUGAAACCAGUGACCAUGGGCUCCCCUUUUUUGGUAAAAAGGUUGUCGUGCAUCUGUUCCACUUCUGUGAUCCCUUGCCACUGAUUUAGGAACCUCAAAAAUCUUUGUGAGAUGCCCGUUGCUUGAAGUGGCACGGCCCAGUGGCUAGGGUAUGGUGUAUGCCAUGCUAUAUCCCAUGGAAUAUUUUGGUGUUUCCUCUGUCUUCAUCUUCGUUUUGGAACUUUGGCCUCUCAAGUUCUAGAUCUUCAGAUAU
rnacentral:lncRNA from 1 species